AGCGCAGGCGGUGCGGCAAGUCUGAUGUGAAAGCCCGGGGCUCAACCCCGGUACUGCAUUGGAAACUGUCGUACUAGAGUGUCGGAGGGGUAAGCGGAAUUCCUAGUGUAGCGGUGAAAUGCGUAGAUAUUAGGAGGAACACCAGUGGCGAAGGCGGCUUACUGGACGAUAACUGACGCUGAGGCUCGAAAGCGUGGGGAGCGAACA
rnacentral:rRNA from 1 species